rnacentral:misc_RNA from 1 species
CAUGACCUAACCACAUUAAAUUUUUAUACAAGCAGUCCUCUCUCUUUCUCUCUCCAACCAGAAGCGCCUUUUCAAUAGUAAAAAAUCUCCUCCUUCCUUCAACCUCUUUUUUCUUCCCUGUUCUAGCUCUACAUCCAUCUCCCCGAACAUGGGCACUACCCUGUUAGAAGCUCUCAACGUCCGUGUAGUCGGCUCUGGAGAGAAAUUUCUCGUUCUUGCCCAUGGAUUUGGAACGGACCAAUCAACAUGGCAGCGCAUUCUCCCCUUCUUUACUCAAAACUACAGCGUAAUUCUUUACGACCUCGUUUGCGCCGGCAGUGUCAAUCCUGACUACUUUGAUUUUAGAAGGUAUACUACUCUUGAUGCUUACGUCGAUGACUUGCUUAACAUUCUUGACGCUCUUCGCGUCGAUCGCUGCUCCUAUGUCGGUCACUCUGUCUCCGCCAUGAUUGGUCUGUUGGCCUCCAUUAGGCGCCCUGAACUCUUCUCCAAACUCAUCCUCAUAGGUGCUUCCCCAAGGUAACGCCUUACUUCCUGCUUAAAUGAGUUUUCGUUUUCUUGUUUGAUUCAUUUUUUCUUGAUUGGCCCUGAAAUUUGUGUUAUACCCCAGAUUCUUGAACGACAAAGAUUACCAUGGAGGAUUCGAGCGAGCUGAUAUUGAGAAUGUUUUUGUAGCAAUGGAAGCGAAUUAUGAGGCCUGGGUCAAUGGUUUUGCGCCUCUAGCCGUGGGGGCGGAUGUGCCGGCGGCGGUUAGAGAAUUCAGCCGGACCCUUUUCAAUAUGAGGCCAGAUAUCACAUUAUUUGUAUCCAGGACCGUAUUUAAUAGUGAUCUAAGAGGGAUACUAGGCCUAGUCAAGGUACCCUGUUGCAUAAUUCAGACAUCCAAGGACGUGUCCGUACCAGCCUCGGUGGCGGAGUAUUUGAAGACCCAUUUGGGUGGGGGGAGCACGGUCGAAUUAUUAAGGACAGAGGGUCAUUUGCCACAUUUGAGUGCCCCAGCGUUGUUGGCUCCAGUGCUCCGGCGAGCCCUUUCGCGAUGACCAUGUGUGUUGUGUUGUGCUUGUGUGGGGAUGGAUGAAGAAGUCAAUUGGGCUCCGGGUUGCUACUGAGUGAAGUGUGGGUCCAACAAAAAAAAAUAUAAUAAGAGUGAGUGUUGACACGUGGCGAAUAAUUUUGUGGAUGUUAGUCUUUGUACUUUGGAUAAUAUGUACUAGUUGUGUCGGAAAUGAAAUUGAAUGAUAUUUUGGAAAAGAUAAGAAAUGCCCACGUGAGAAUCACGUGAUGAGGUAUGCUACUUACCUUUUUUUCUUUUUUAAUCCUCGUGGUUUCUUUUUUCUUUGUAUUCUCUUAUCUUCAAUUUAAGCAGAGCAGCCAACCUUACACAACUAAGCUCUUUUAAAUUCGAUUCGAUUUUUCAAUUAAUUUAAUAAAAUAUUUGAAAUUUUGCCAUCCAAAAAUUUGUAUGCCCU